CCUAUCGGCUGCAGCGUCGGGUUGCCUCGUGCGGCCCGACACGAUUGCGUCGGUACCGGGAACACAGUGCAAGCAUGAAUUUGCUUUAAGCUGAGGCUAUCCCUGUAACUGUAUGCGGCGAGUGCGAUAUGCGUGUGGUUCCUUGCGGAUACACAGCCACUGGACGAUAAAAAUUGGAUCGACCGGGAAGGUGCAUUUCAAACGAUGACCCGUGAGCCAGGAGACCGACCGGCGCAUGUCGCUCAUG
rnacentral:ncRNA from 2 species